rnacentral:rRNA from 1 species
GAUGAACGCUAGCGGCAGGCCUAAUACGUGCAAGUCGAGGGGUAUGGGUUGCUUGCAACCCAGAGACCGGCGCACGGGUGCGUAACGCGUAUGCAAUCUACCUUAAUCAGGGGGAUAGCCCGGAGAAAUCCGGAUUAACACCGCAUAACAUUGAGUUGUGGCAUCACAGUUCAAUCAAAUAUUUAUAGGAUUAAGAUGAGCAUGCGUGACAUUAGUUAGUUGGUGAGGUAACGGCUCACCAAGACCACGAUGUCUAGGGGAUCUGAGAGGAUGACCCCCCACACUGGUACUGAGGCACGGACCAGACUCGUACGGGAGGCAGCAGUAAGGAAUAUUGAUCAAUGGGCGCAAGCCUGAACCAGCCAUGCCGCGUGCAGGAAGACGGCCCUAUGGGUUGUAAACUGCUUUUGUACCGGAAUAAACCUUCUCUUGCGAGAGAAGCUGAACGUACGGUAAGAAUAAGGAUCGGCUAACUCCGUG